AAUGAACGCUGGCGGCGUGCUUAACACAUGCAAGUCGAACGGUAAGGCCCUUCGGGGUACACGAGUGGCGAACGGGUGAGUAACACGUGGGUGAUCUGCCCUGCACUUCGGGAUAAGCCUGGGAAACUGGGUCUAAUACCGGAUAGGACCCUGGGAUGCAUGUCCUGGGGUGGAAAGCUUUUGCGGUGUGGGAUGGGCCCGCGGCCUAUCAGCUUGUUGGUGGGGUGAUGGCCUACCAAGGCGACGACGGGUAGCUGGCCUGAGAGGGUGACCGGCCACACUGGGACUGAGAUACGGCCCAGACUCCUACGGGAGGCAGCAGUGGGGAAUAUUGCACAAUGGGCGCAAGCCUGAUGCAGCGACGCCGCGUGAGGGAUGACGGCCUUCGGGUUGUAAACCUCUUUCAGCACCGACGAAGCGCAAGUGACGGUAGGUGCAGAAGAAGGACCGGCCAACUACGUGCCAGCAGCCGCCGUAA
rnacentral:rRNA from 1 species